rnacentral:lncRNA from 1 species
AAAAAAUACCACAGAUUGGCUUAAACAACACAAAUUUAUUUUCGCUCAGUUCUGGAGGCUGGAAGUCCAAGAUCAAGAUGCCAGUAGAUUUGGUUCCAGCAUAAUAUACAGAAAUGCUGAACAUUCCAUUCAACCAUGUGGGACAAACUGGGAAUUCCUGAGGAUUAAAUUUCAGCAUGAGGAAUGAGAAAAUUCCAUACAAUUAAGAGGAGACAGGAAGAAGGAAAUGGCAGACCAGAGGUGACAUCACAUUUGAGGUGUGAUCAACAUCAUUGGUCAGCACCGAGGGGGGACAUUCCAGACAGUUCUGGAGAGCUGGACCUGAGGUCGGAGAGCAAUCUUGUAAGCAGAGAAGAAAGGAACAUCAAACAGUGCCUAUUUUGGGGACCUUGACCUUCCAGUAAAUCGCAUCAUAGUACACCCACCGUUACAACGUUUUACAUUUGCAUAAGAGUUUUGGUCUAAGAAUCUUGGAGAUUUUUCAAGAAACAGCAUUGCUAUUAUAGUUCUGUUUUAAUAUAAGUGGAAAUAGUGAAUCACAGGAUUAAAGUAACUUUUCAAGGCAUUGUUUAGUGCUAGAUGAGGCUGUUAGUUGGUAAGAAGUAUAAAAAUCAAGAAGAAAUGUACAUAAAUCUAACGACAUUGGCCAAAAUAAAGC